UCAAAAACUAGAGUGAAAUAGAAAUUGUGUUGUCAACAAUCUUAACAAUCUCUCCCUUUUUUGAUGAUGCACAACCAUGAUUAAUAACUAACCAUGUUUGCACAAUCAAAUACAAAAUAUAGUAACAAAAGAUAUAUCACAGUUCAAGUCUGCAUGUAACACAAUUAAAAAGCAAAAUAUCAAGCAGAAUAUGAGACAAAAUAAUCAUUCUCCCCCUUUCAUAAAGCUUUCAUAAGUUCUCUCCCCC
rnacentral:lncRNA from 1 species